rnacentral:tRNA from 1 species
CCCCGGCGGGCCCCGGGGUGGCCCCGCCGUUCGCCGCGCCGCCGACCGAGGGACGCAGCGCCCGGCUCUGGCUCGGCCUCGGGGCCGGGGC